CAGGGCCAGGGAAAAAAGAGGAAAAGCCAUCAGCAAUACCAAGGGAAACCGUAAGCUAAGGUUGGCAUAGUUCUCAGCAAGCCUCACAGUGAUUCUCUCUUCCCUCCCUCACCCCU
rnacentral:lncRNA from 1 species